AAGCUCUGCAGAGACAAGAGAACUGAAAGAAAUAAUCAUGUCUGUCUGGUCCAAAUGGAGAAGAUGAGGAAAGAGAAACAUCAGAGUAGACAUUACUGGAUGUAAGAGGAAAAGCUAGGUAUGUGAUAUGACUGUGCAAAACUCUACAGAGAUGAAAGAAGUCAUCAGUGCGUUCUGUUCUGAAUGGAGAUGAGGAAAGAGAACAUCUACAUCAUAGGAGACAUCAUUGGAUGUGAUAGGAACAUCAACUCUGUUACAAAUCUUUGUGUCAUCAGCAAAAAGACACACCUUACCAUCGAG